rnacentral:misc_RNA from 1 species
GGCCUGGACAGCUUUUUAUCGGCAGAGUGUGCUCGAGCGAUGGCGAUGAACGGGAGGAGCGGUAUGGGUGUUGAGCCACCCUUCCUGUGGCCGGAAGGAUUGACGGUGGCUGCUGACGAGAUGCGGCGGCAGUGGCACAUUGAAGCGCUGCAUCAGCAGCAACAGCACCCUCACCAGCAGCAAGAUCUGCCAUCGGUUUGCUGGGAGAGGGGAGAUGACGCAACACCUCACACCUUCAUUGCUCCGACAACCUCACAUCUUUA